ACUUUGAAUAAACCAUUUCUCUGCACUUAAGUUCCUUACCAACAAAACGAGGGAAGUGGCCUACAUGCCUAGAUAUCAACAUUUCAUGUCACGUAGAGAUCUAGCAUCACAAGAAUCCAAGUCAUCCUCUGUUGCCUUUAAGAUUUCAGCAUGGUGAAGGAAAAGUAGCAGAAGACUGAAUGCAUACUCAGUUUUCAAGCUCUGGAUUUAAUCUUUCCAUAGCUGGAAUUGCCUCCUCCUCAAAAGCCUUAUUUGUUCAUUUAAUUGGGGCAACAUGAAAUAAUGAUGUAUCAUUGACAGAGAACAGGGGGCUUAGGUUCUCAUCUUGGUCCUAGUGAUUACUCUAUGCAUAACCUCAACUUCUUUAUCUGUACAUUGGGAACAAUAAUUCUUACUCCACUUGUUGUGUUGAAACUGAAUUAUAUAAUUCAUAAAUUAAAACACCAAAUUCUGAUAAA
rnacentral:lncRNA from 1 species